rnacentral:rRNA from 1 species
UACGGGGGGGGCAAGCGUUGUUCGGAAUUACUGGGCGUAAAGGGCUCGUAGGUGGCCAACUAAGUCAGACGUGAAAUCCCCAGGCUCAACUUGGGAACUGCGUCUGAUACUGGAUGGCUUGGAUUCGGGAGAGGGAUGCAGAAUUCCAGGUGUAGCGGUGAAAUGCGUAGAUAUCAGGAGGAACACCGGUGGCGAAGGCGGCUUGCUGGGCCAGUUCUGACGCUGAGGAGCGAAAGCGUGGGGAGCGAACAGG